rnacentral:misc_RNA from 1 species
AAGUCGUAACAAGGUUUCCGUAGGUGAACCUGCGGAAGGAUCAUUAUCCUUAGCGUAGUAUCCUAACAAGUACUACAAGCGCAUGCACACUCUUGUGUUGCGUAAAAAUGCACAACGAUUAUGCCUAGUCAUGGUCGUUCUUAAAACCCAUGCUUGCUCUAGUAUGGUCGGGUACCUAAGCAUGUGCUUUUGCACUACGUAAGCGGUAGAUGCGUGUCUAUCGUAUGGCGUAAAGAUUAUUCAAGCUUUGAAUAACGCCCGCUUAGCAAACUUUUUAUACCAAAUAUUAAUCGCAAUACUAUGUUGUAUGUGUAAAGCAAUAUCUUAUUACUUAUAAGAUAAUAACACAAAUACAACCCUAUGCGGUGGAUCAUUUGGCUC